rnacentral:rRNA from 1 species
UGAGGAAUAUUGGUCAAUGGCCGGAAGGCUGAACCAGCCAAGUCGCGUGAGGGAAGACUGCCCUAUGGGUUGUAAACCUCUUUUAUUCGGGAAGAAUAAGUUUCACGCGUGGAACGAUGCCUGUACCGAAUGAAUAAGCAUCGGCUAACUCCGUGCCAGCAGCCGCGGUAAUACGGAGGAUGCGAGCGUUAUCCGGAUUUAUUGGGUUUAAAGGGUGCGUAGGCGGUUGAUUAAGUUAGUGGUAAAAUGUCAUGGCUAAACCUUGGCCAGCCAUUAAUACUGGUCAGCUUGAGUACAGACGAGGUAGGCGGAAUAAGUUAAGUAGCGGUGAAAUGCUUAGAUAUAACUUAGAACUCCGAUAGCGAAGGCAGCUUACCAGACUGUGACUGACGCUGAAGCACGAGAGCGUGGGUAGCGAACAGG